UUUCACUCUGCCAUCAAAAUUUCAACUGGCUGCCUAUUAUAAUUUAUUGUUAUUUAUAUAUAUUUAAAUAUUAUAAUUUAAUAAAAAUAUAAAUAUAUUAUUAAAACUAUAUUUAAAAUUUAUUUUUUAUAUUUUAAUAAAUAAAGUUAUAUUAUAUAAUAAUAAUUAAAAAAAAAAAAAAAGUAAAGUUAUAUGAAGAGCCAGUCUGCCUGUCUUCUGAUAAGCAAGUUUACACCUGAUCUCGAUCUCAUAUGAGAUGAGAUGAAAGAGCAAUUUCCGCUUUGUAAAUUUUUUUUUUUUUUUUGUUCUUCACCCUGUGAGAUCUCUUCUAAGAUUCUCGUCGCUCACUGUUUCUCCAACCAAGUAAAUAUUUAUGCUGUAAAUCGAAACUAAAAGUGUACGCAUCUAUCUAUAUACGCGUCUUUAUGUGUGCAUGAUUGUUGUUUAAUUUUCUGAAAUCUCUUGCCGGCGGUUAUAGUUCCGACUGCUAUUGGUUUCCAAUUAAUGUAUGGGUUUCAAUUUCUUUGCA